rnacentral:rRNA from 1 species
GAUGAACGCUGGCGGCGUGCCUAAUACAUGCGAGUCGAGCGAACAGACGAGGAGCUUGCUCCUUUGACGUUAGCGGCGGACGGGUGAGUAACACGUGGGUAACCUACCUAUAAGACUGGGAUAACUUCGGGAAACCGGAGCUAAUACCGGAUAAUAUUUCGAACCGCAUGGUUCGAUAGUGAAAGAUGGCUUUGCUAUCACUUAUAGAUGGACCUGCGCCGUAUUAGCUAGUUGGUAAGGUAACGGCUUACCAAGGCAACGAUACGUAGCCGACCUGAGAGGGUGAUCGGCCACACUGGAACUGAGACACGGUCCAGACUCCUACGGGAGGCAGCAGUAGGGAAUCUUCCGCAAUGGGCGAAAGCCUGACGGAGCAACACCGCGUGAGUGAUGAAGGUCUUCGGAUCGUAAAACUCUGUUAUUAGGGAAGAACAAACGUGUAAGUAACUGUGCACGUCUUGACGGUACCUAAUCAGAAAGCCACGGCUAACUACGUG